AUGUCGACCGGCCCCCGCUCCAUCAGCUCUGCCUUUCCCCGCUCCGGCGAGCGCCCGGUGGUGUCGGGCCUUGGCCUAUCCUCAAGCUCUGGCGUAGGCUCGGAGGAGAUGGGUCCUGCGCGCGGUUCCUCCCCGGCCGCGGCCACGGCGGUGGCCGCGCCGGACAUGGUGGCUUGGAGGCCGCCGACGCGAAAGGAGAAGUGGCGGAGCAGGCUUGACCGCCGGGGGCAGGGCGAGCAUGGAGAGCCCUCGACGCGCCCUAGGAGAGAGGUCUCGCCGGAGAUGGCCGGCCUGUGCUUCAGAUGCUUCGAAGAAGGCCACUUUCGGAGGGACUGUACGAACGACAUCAUCUGCUUCCGGUGCGGCGGCGUCGGCCAUGGCUCCAAGGACUGCAAGAGGCCGCACAACCCGUCCCCUGAAGAGGAGCUCCGCCGACAGGUUGCGGCCAGGGUGGCUCGUGCUGACUAG
rnacentral:rRNA from 1 species